rnacentral:rRNA from 1 species
UACGUAGGGGGCAAGCGUUGUCCGGAAUCAUUGGGCGUAAAGAGCGUGUAGGCGGCUUGGCAAGUCUGACGUGAAAUCCCGCGGCUCAACCGCGGUAGGUCGUUGGAAACUGCCUCGCUAGAGUCCGGAAGAGGAGAGCGGAAUUCCUGGUGUAGCGGUGGAAUGCGCAGAUAUCAGGAAGAACACCCGUGGCGAAGGCGGCUCUCUGGGACGGUACUGACGCUGAGGAGCGAAAGCGUGGGGAGCGAACAGG